ACAGAUUCGACCACCACAUCUCGUGUAAUACGAUAUUUAUCCACUCUCGACAGUUAAAUUUUAAAUAUUUAGAACGCUCGGCGAGCCUCGCGUUUUAAAUUUGAAAAUUUAACUGUCUCGAGUGGAUAAAUAUUGUAUCACAUUCGAUGCAGUGGCAGAAUCUCU
rnacentral:sRNA from 1 species